rnacentral:tRNA from 1 species
GGCUCUGUAGCUCAGUUGGUAGAGCAACGGACUGAAAAUCCGUGUGUCAGCGGUUCAACCCCGCUUGGAGCCAC